rnacentral:rRNA from 1 species
UACGUAGGUGGCAAGCGUUUUCCGGAUUUACUGGGCGUAAAGGGCGUGCAGGCGGUCUGUUAAGUUCAGGGUGAAAGCUCCCGGCUCAACUGGGAGAGGUCCUUGGAUACUGGCAGACUUGAGGGAGGUAGAGGAGAGUGGAAUUCCCGGUGUAGUGGUGAUAUGCGUAGAUAUCGGGAGGAACACCAGUGGCGAAGGCGGCUCUCUGGGCCUUUCCUGACGCUGAGACGCGAAAGCGUGGGGAGCGAACCGG